rnacentral:snRNA from 1 species
GUGCUCGCUUCGGCAGCACAUAUACUAAAAUUGGAACGAUACAGAGAAGAUUAACAUGGCCCUUGUGCAAGGAUGACAUGCAAAUUCGUGAAGUGUUCCUUAUUUUU